rnacentral:tRNA from 1 species
GAGGGUAUAGCUCAAGUGGUAGAGCACAUCCUUACCAUGCAUGAGGUCCUGGGUUCAAUCCCCAGUACUUCCU